GUAAGUUUGACUGUUGUGAGCUUGUGUAUGGGGCAGGGAGCUUGUGUGUGUUGGUGUGCUUGUCUGUAGUGAGCUUUUGUGUGUCAAUGAGCUUGCGUGUAGUAAGCUUGUGUGGGUCAGAGAGCUUCUGUGUGUCAGGGAAUGGUCAGGGAAAUCAGGAAUAGUGAGGUACAAUAGCUGAGUCAAGGGUGGGGAACCUUAGGCCCUCCAUAUAUUUUGGACUACAUUUCCCAUAAUGCUGUUACAGCCAUAAUGCUUGCAAAGCAUCAAGGGAGAUUGUAGUCCAAAACAUCUGGAGGGCCAAAGGUUCCCCACCCCUGGAGUAUAGGUAAG